rnacentral:rRNA from 1 species
AUACGUAGGUGGCAAGCGUUGUCCGGAAUUAUUGGGCGUAAAGCGCAUGUAGGCGGUGCCUUAAGUCUGUCGUGAAACUGCGGGGCCUAACCCCGUAUGGCGAUGGAAACUGUGGCACUUGAGUGCAGGAGAGGAAAGGGGAACUCCCAGAGUAGCGGUGAAAUGCGUAGAUAUUGGGAAGAACACCGGUGGCGAAGGCGCCUGUCUGGACUGUGUCUGACGCUGAGAUGCGAGAGCCAGGGUAGCGAACGGGAUUAGAUACCCCGGUAGUCCUGGCCUUAAACGAUGGGUACUAGGUGUGGGAGGUAUCGACCCCUUCCGUGCCGGAGUUAACGCAAUAAGUCCCCCGCCUGGGGAGUACGGCCGCAAGGCUUAAACUCAAAGGAAUUGACGGGG